rnacentral:rRNA from 1 species
GGGUAGUAUAGCAAUAUAUGAGACCGGCGCACGGGUGCGUAACGCGUAUGCAACCUACCUUUUACAGGGGAAUAGCCCAGAGAAAUUUGGAUUAAUGCCCCAUAGUAUAAUUGAAUGGCAUCAUUUGAUUAUUAAAGUUCCAACGGUAAAAGAUGGGCAUGCGUCCUAUUAGCUAGAUGGUAAGGUAACGGCUUACCAUGGCCACGAUAGGUAGGGGUCCUGAGAGGGAGAUCCCCCACACUGGUACUGAGACACGGACCAGACUCCUACGGGAGGCAGCAGUGAGGAAUAUUGGACAAUGGGCGCAAGCCUGAUCCAGCCAUGCCGCGUGCAGGAAGACGCAUCUAUGGUGUGUAAACUGCUUUUGUACGGGAAGAAACACUCCCUCGUGAGGGAGCUUGACGGUACCGUAAGAAUAAGGAUCGGCUAACUCCGUGCCAGCAGCCGCGGUAAUACGGAGGAUCCAAGCGUUAUCCGGAAUCAUUGGGUUUAAAGGGUCCGUAGGCGGUUUAAUAAGUCAGUGGUGAAAGCCCAUCGCUCAACGAUGGAACGGCCAUUGAUACUGUUAGACUUGAAUUACAAGGAAGUAACUAGAAUAUGUAGUGUAGCGGUGAAAUGCUUAGAUAUUACAUGGAAUACCAAUUGCGAAGGCAGGUUACUACUUGUGGAUUGACGCUGAUGGACGAAAGCGUGGGGAGCGAACAGGAUUAGAUACCCUGGUAGUCCACGCCGUAAACGAUGGAUACUAGCUGUUCGGAGCAAUCUGAGUGGCUAAGCGAAAGUGAUAAGUAUC